rnacentral:rRNA from 1 species
UACGAAGGGGGCUAGCGUUGUUCGGAAUUACUGGGCGUAAAGCGCACGUAGGCGGAUAUUUAAGUCAGGGGUGAAAUCCCAGAGCUCAACUCUGGAACUGCCUUUGAUACUGGGUAUCUUGAGUAUGGAAGAGGUGAGUGGAAUUCCGAGUGUAGAGGUGAAAUUCGUAGAUAUUGGGAAGAACACCGGUGGCGAAGGCGGCGCUCUGGACCGAGACUGACGCUGAGGCGCGAAAGCGUGGGGAGCAAACAGG